rnacentral:rRNA from 1 species
UGGCGGACGGGUGAGUAAUGUCUGGGAAACUGCCUGAUGGAGGGGGAUAACUACUGGAAACGGUAGCUAAUACCGCAUAACGUCGCAAGACCAAAGAGGGGGACCUUAGGGCCUCUCGCCAUCGGAUGUGCCCAGAUGGGAUUAGCUUGUUGGUGGGGUAACGGCUCACCAAGGCGACGAUCCCUAGCUGGUCUGAGAGGAUGACCAGCCACACUGGAACUGGGACACGGUCCAG